rnacentral:rRNA from 1 species
UACGUAGGGGGCGAGCGUUGUCCGGAUUUAUUGGGCGUAAAGAGCUCGUAGGCGGUUCGGUAAGUCGGAUGUGAAAUCUCCACGCUCAACGUGGAGGGGCCAUUCGAUACUGCCGUGACUCGAGUCCGGUAGGGGAGUGUGGAAUUCCCGGUGUAGCGGUGAAAUGCGCAGAUACUGGGAGGAACACCGGUGGCGAAGGCGGCUACCUGGACCGGUUCUGACGCUGAGGCGCGAAAGCGUGGGGAGCAAACAGG